rnacentral:misc_RNA from 1 species
CGCACAUUGCGCCCUUUGGUAUUCCGAAGGGCAUGCCUGUUCGAGCGUCAUUAUCACCCCUCAGGCUUCGGCUUGGUGUUGGGCUUCACGGUAGUCAUACCGUGGGCCUCAAAGAUAGUGACGGCGUCCCAGACGGAACCGAUACGAGGAGCUUUUAACCGAGCAUGUACGCGGCGCGAGUCUGUGGGCGGCGGUCUUUACCCACUACUCUUCGGAGUAUUUUCAAGUGUUGACCUCGGAUCAGGUAGGAAUACCCGCUGAACUUAA